rnacentral:rRNA from 1 species
UACGGGGGGGGCAAGCGUUGUUCGGAAUUACUGGGCGUAAAGGGCUCGUAGGUGGCCAACUAAGUCAUACGUGAAAUCCCUCGGCUUAACCGGGGAACUGCGUCUGAUACUGGAUGGCUUGAGGUUGGGAGAGGGAUGCGGAAUUCCAGGUGUAGCGGUGAAAUGCGUAGAUAUCUGGAGGAACACCGGUGGCGAAGGCGGCAUCCUGGACCAAUACUGACGCUGAGGAGCGAAAGCCAGGGGAGCAAACGGG